CCCAGCAAACGACAACAGAACCUUUCCGCUAACGAUUUUCAGUCAUCAGAAGUGGAGAGAGACUCAGACAGCAGACAGCAUGGUCCCAGCAUGCUUUUUGCCUCUUUUUUUGUUUGCACAGUAGCUGUCAGUUGCAGCCCUGCAGGAUAAUUAAAAGAGAAACCUGUAAAGGCAACAUUCCUUCAAGCAAGUUGGUGCUGCAACGUGCUGGGCAGACCUGAGCAUGCAACAGAAGUUGCAGAGUCACUUCCAUGAAGGAUCCUCGCCGCAUCUCAGUCUCAGCCUGCUACCUGUUUCAGACCUGGUGUCAUCCUCCAGGACACGUUUUUUCCAGAUGUCUCCAGGCACAGCCAGACCCCUGCCACAGCCCAAGAGCUAGCUACUGAUGUACCUGAAGGAGAGACAUGUCUUCACCACGCAUGUUCCAGAUAAAUUCUUUUGUUCAUACAGAUCAGGCGCUGAGAGUGGAUGAUAUGGCAGAGAAGCUGCAGGAAAACUAGAGGACUGAAGUCUGGGCCCAGAAGCACUGUGAAGAUCAAGCUAAAGUCAGCUACAACAGUUUAGGCUCCACUAGAAGUUACUGGUCUAUGAAUCUAGGACAAAAAAGCCAGAUACUCCAGGGACACUGUGAUGGACAGUGCCAGAACUGCUACCAGCACAUAGUGUGCUAGUUCGCACUGCUAAGGGCCCGGACACGCCUGAUUACUCUACUCAUGCAUCUCAACACCUCUCCUGGAAAAAAAAAAAAAAAAAGUUGAGCUAGGACUCUGUAGAGGCAGCGG